rnacentral:rRNA from 1 species
UACGAAGGGGGCUAGCGUUGUUCGGAAUUACUGGGCGUAAAGCGUGCGCAGGCGGUCCUUCAAGUCAGAGGUGAAAGCCCAGAGCUCAACUCUGGAACGGCCUUUGAGACUAGAGGACUUGGGUACGGGAGAGGUGAGUGGAAUUCCGAGUGUAGAGGUGAAAUUCGUAGAUAUUCGGAAGAACACCAGUGGCGAAGGCGGCUCACUGGCCCGUUACCGACGCUCAGGCGCGACAGCGUGGGGAGCAAACAGG